rnacentral:lncRNA from 1 species
CUCAUUUAUCGACAUGCAUGACAAAUAGUAGUAGCAUAACAUUUAACAUCUUACGAUAUCUACCUAUGUUACUCUAACCCUCUCUCGCUUCUUUAAUUGUCCCCCACAUCAGCAUGUUUGCUAUUCCCAAGUACAUGAUACUACCUAAGUUACUCCCACUAUGACCAGCCUUACUCACUCCCUCUGCUUUGCAUUCUCUCUCUCGGUUAGCGGGC